GACGAACGCUGGCGGCGUGCUUAACACAUGCAAGUCGAACGGAAAGGCCCUGCUUUUGUGGGGUGCUCGAGUGGCGAACGGGUGAGUAACACGUGAGUAACCUGCCCUUGACUUUGGGAUAACUUCAGGAAACUGGGGCUAAUACCGGAUAGGAGCUCCUGCUGCAUGGUGGGGGUUGGAAAGUUUCGGCGGUUGGGGAUGGACUCGCGGCUUAUCAGCUUGUUGGUGGGGUAGUGGCUUACCAAGGCUUUGACGGGUAGCCGGCCUGAGAGGGUGACCGGCCACAUUGGGACUGAGAUACGGCCCAGACUCCUACGGGAGGCAGCAGUGGGGAAUAUUGCACAAUGGGCGGAAGCCUGAUGCAGCCACGCCGCGUGCGGGAUGACGGCCUUCGGGUUGUAAACCGCUUUCGCCUGUGACGAAGCGUGAGUGACGGUAAUGGGUAAAGAAGCACCGGCUAACUACGUG
rnacentral:rRNA from 1 species